CGCGGUAAUUCCAGCUCCAAUAGCGUAUACUAAAGUGUUGCAGUUAAAAAGCUCGUAGUUGGAUUUCUGGCGGGGACGGCUGGUCGGUCUCGAAAGGGGCUGUACUGUUGUUGGUUCCCGUCAUCCUUGGGGAGAGCGGCUCUUACAUUAAGUUGUCGGCGUCGGGAUCCCUAUCUUUUACCGUGAAAAAAUUAGAGUGUUCAAAGCAGGCUAGGCCCUGAAUACAUUAGCAUGGAAUAAUAAGAUACGACCUUGGUGGUCUAUUUUGUUGGUUUGCACGCCAAGGUAAUGAUUAAUAGGGAUAGUUGGGGGUAUUCGUAUUCAAUUGUCAGAGGUGAAAUUCUUGGAUUUAUGGAAGACGAACUACUGCGAAAGCAUUUACCAAGGAUGUUUUCAUUAAUCAAGAACGAAAGUUAGGGGAUCGAAGAUGAUUAGAUACCAUCGUAGUCUUAACCAUAAACUAUGCCGACUAGGGAUCGGUGGGUGCAUUUUUAGGCCUCAUCGGCACCUUAUGAGAAAUCAAAGUCUUUGGGUUCCGGGGGGAGUAUGGUCGCAAGGCUGAAACUUAAAGAAAUUGACGG
rnacentral:rRNA from 1 species